rnacentral:rRNA from 1 species
GACGAACGCUGGCGGCGUGCCUAAUACAUGCAAGUUGAGCGCUGAAGGUUGGUACUUGUACCAACUGGAUGAGCAGCGAACGGGUGAGUAACGCGUGGGGAAUCUGCCUUUGAGCGGGGGACAACAUUUGGAAACGAAUGCUAAUACCGCAUAAAAACUUUAAACACAAGUUUUAAGUUUGAAAGAUGCAAAUGCAUCACUCAAAGAUGAUCCCGCGUUGUAUUAGCUAGUUGGUGAGGUAAAGGCUCACCAAGGCGAUGAUACAUAGCCGACCUGAGAGGGUGAUCGGCCACAUUGGGACUGAGACACGGCCCAAACUCCUACGGGAGGCAGCAGUAGGGAAUCUUCGGCUAUGGACGAAAGUCUGACCGAGCAACGCCGCGUGAGUGAAGAAGGUUUUCGGAUCGUAAAACUCUGUUGGUAGAGAAGAACGUUGGUGAGAGUGGAAAGCUCAUCAAGUGACGGUAACUACCCAGAAAGGGACGGCUAACUACGUG